rnacentral:rRNA from 1 species
GUGGGGAAUAUUGGGCAAUGGGCGCAAGCCUGACCCAGCAACGCCGCGUGAAGGAAGAAGGCUUUCGGGUUGUAAACUUCUUUUACCAGGGACGAAACAAAUGACGGUACCUGGUGAAUAAGCCACGGCUAACUAGGUGCCAGCAGCCGCGGUAAUACGUAGGUGGCGAGCGUUAUCCGGAUUGAUUGGGUGUAAAGGGCGUGUAGGCGGGACAGCAAGUCAGAUGUGAAAACCAGAGGCUCAACCUCUGGCCUGCAUUUGAAACUGUUGUUCUUGAGUGUCGGAGAGGUAAUCGGAAUUCCGUGUGUAGCGGUGAAAUGCGUAGAUAUACGGAGGAACACCAGUGGCGAAGGCGGAUUACUGGACGAUAACUGACGCUGAGGCGCGAAAGCGUGGGGAGCAAACAGGAUUAGAUACCCCUGUAGUCC